CACAGCGAGUGUUUUUUCUGCCCCACACAUCUUUCUCCACUGUUGGAAUCAGUCCCAGUUUUCCCCGGUGUCUCUGACAGAUCUGGAAGAUCCACAUUCUUUCAGUUUACCAAAUCUUCCUCAAACUGCUGUUCUGACUUGUUCACAUUCAGACUUGAAUCUGCUCCUUUCUUGGCUUCAAAUUUAGUUUUGGAAUCUUGUGGAUUUGAAAUGUGAUUCUAACAAAGAUGGAAAGAAAAGCUUCUCAGCUUCACUGUCAGCCAUUUUCCAGAGCUGCAUGUGAACAAACUCUCUGUUCCUGUGACUCUGAUGAUCAGAAGGAGCAUUUUCCAGGAAAUAGUCAGGCCCCUCCCUUCAGCUCCAUCGGGAGUUUCUGCUUCAGUGUCAGUUGACGAUAAAUAAGCAGAGUUCAUGCACGUUUGGAAGGACGAUGACUCAGUGAUUGGUGCUGCAGCUGCGUUGACACGGUGAAGGUGGAAGGUGUGUGUGAGCUGAUGUGGAUCCAGUGAAUCCAGCAGCAUGGAUCAGUGGGAGGACACACAGGAGGGAGCCCCUCCCUCUAAAAGCAGAGAUGGUAGCCAUGACAACCAGAGCAAAACUCAGAGGUGAGAUGAACAUCUCCAACUGUCCAUGAUCUUCUCCAUGUCAGAUCUCAGCACUCACACCAGCAACCUUCAUUCUUCACAGGAAUCAACCUGGACCUGGAUCUGAAUCCAGCUGGGGGUCCAAAAGGAGUGACAUGUCAAAGGAUUUACCUAUAACCUUCAAAGACAGCAGUUCAGGAGUGGAACGGACCCAACAAAGACUUGAAAACGACUCUGACUCUGGAUCUGAAUCAAGCUUUGGGUCCUGCAGGAGUGACAACUCAGACGAUGAAAAUCCUGACUUCAAGGACUUCAGUUCAGGAGAGGAACAAGGUCAACAGGUCACACAGAGAGUCCAGUCUGCAGCCUCCAACUGUGAGUCAAUGAAGGGUGACUGGUCCAAAGAGUAUCCACCAGCUUUCAGAAGACUUAAACAAAGACCUACAGA